GGGGAAUCUUGCACAAUGGGGGAAACCCUGAUGCAGCGACGCCGCGUGAACGAUGAAGCCCUUCGGGGUGUAAAGUUCUUUCGGCAGGGACGAUAAUGACGGUACCUGCAGAAGCAGCUGCGGCUAACUACGUGCCAGCAGCCGCGGUAAUACGUAGGCAGCAAGCGUUGUUCGGAAUUACUGGGCGUAAAGAGUGCGUAGGCGGUUGGCUAAGUUUGGUGUGAAAUCUCCCGGCUCAACUGGGAGGGUGCGCCGAAAACUGGCUGGCUAGAGUGCGGGAGAGGAUAGUGGAAUUCCUGGUGUAGCGGUGAAAUGCGUAGAUAUCAGGAGGAACACCUGAGGUGUAGACGGCUAUCUGGACCGUAACUGACGCUGAGGCACGAAAGCGUGGGGAGCAAAC
rnacentral:rRNA from 1 species